rnacentral:rRNA from 1 species
UUACUGGCUCAGAACGAACGCUGGCGGCGCGUUUAAGCAUGCAAGUCGAGCGGCAAGGGCCUUCGGGCCCCUAGAGCGGCGGACGGGUGAGUAACACGUGGACAAUCUGCCCCCCGGCCCGGGAUAGCCCAGGGAAACCUGGAUUAAUACCGGAUGAGACGGGACCCGCGAUGGCGGGACCCGGGAAAGGCGCUGCGGCGCCGCCGGGGGAUGAGUCUGCGUCCCAUUAGCUAGACGGCGGGGUAACGGCCCACCGUGGCGACGAUGGGUAGCCGGCCUGAGAGGGUGGACGGCCACAUUGGAACUGAGACACGGUCCAGACUCCUACGGGAGGCAGCAGCUAAGAAUCUUCCGCAAUGGGCGAAAGCCUGACGGAAGCGACGCCGCGUGAACGAAGAAGGCCGUGAGGUUGUAAAGUUCUUUUCGGGAGGGGGAACAACCGUGGCAGGGAAUGGCCGCGGGAUGACGUGAAUCCCGGAAUAAGCCCCGGCUAACUACGUGCCAGCCGCCGC